GAAAUGCGAUAAGUAGUGUGAAUUGCAGAAUGCAGUGAAUCAUCGAAUCUUUGAACGCACAUUGCGCCCCUUGGUAUUCCAUGGGGCAUGCCUGUUCGAGCGUCAUUUGUACACUCAAGCUCUGCUUGGUGUUGGGUGUUUGUCCCCGUCUCCGCGCGUGGACUCGCCCCAAAGUGAUUGGCAGCCGGCGUACUGGUCCCGGAGCGCAGCACAUGUCGCGCAAACGAGUGCCUUGGUACGGCGGCGUCCAUAAGCCCCUCUCUCACGCUCUUGACCUCGGAUCAGGUAGGGAUACCCGCUGAACUUAAGC
rnacentral:misc_RNA from 1 species